rnacentral:rRNA from 1 species
UGGGGAAUAUUGCACAAUGGGCGCAAGCCUGAUGCAGCCAUGCCGCGUGUAUGAAGAAGGCCAUCGGGUUGUAAAGUACUUUCAGCGGGGAGGAAGGGAGUAAAGUUAAUACCUUUGCUCAUUGACGUUACCCGCAGAAGAAGCACCGGCUAACUCCGUGCCAGCAGCCGCGGUAAUACGGAGGGUGCAAGCGUUAAUCGGAAUUACUGGGCGUAAAGCGCACGCAGGCGGUUUGUUAAGUCAGAUGUGAAAUCCCCGGGCUCAACCUGGGAACUGCAUCUGAUACUGGCAAGCUUGAGUCUCGUAGAGGGGGGUAGAAUUCCAGGUGUAGCGGUGAAAUGCGUAGAGAUCUGGAGGAAUACCGGUGGCGAAGGCGGCCCCCUGGACGAAGACUGACGCUCAGGUGCGAAAGCGUGGGGAGCAAACAGG